UUUCAUCCAGGGAUCUUCUGGGCUUUGAAAGCAUUUCUACUGAAUGACAUCGUUCUAUUGAGUUUGUUUUUGCUCGAGAUUGAUUAGAAGUGCUGGAUCUAUCAGAGGAAUGAGCUCUGCGAAGGAUUUCGUGACAUAAAAGGAUGGUCCAAUACAGAAGACAGACUUAACCGAUCUGCAGGAUUCCUACGAAGUAACUGGUGGAUAAGGUCCUGAGCCUCUCGUGACAAAAAGGUUGGCAUUUCAUAAUCUGCCAAAACUACUUUAUUCAAUGUGUUCUUGACUGUAUCAGUGUCAAAAGGUGGCCUUCCAAUAAGUAAUGUAUAAAACAUACAGCCCAACGACCAAAUAUCAGAUUCAAGUCCAUGUGCACUUCGAGUUGCAAUUUCUGGUGAAAUGUAAUUAGGAGUUCCACAGAGUGUGUAAUGCUUUUCAUGUGGCAUUUUCAACUGUGUUGCUAGUCCAAAGUCAGCAAUUUUUAUGUUCAUAUUACGUGUAAGUAAUAUGUUAGAGAGUGUGAGGUCCCGGUGUAAUAUGCCAUGAGAAUGAAGAUACAACAUUCCUGUGAUGAUCUGGUGCAUGAAUUGCCUAGCUGUGAAGAUGGAAAAAGAGAAAACAUAAUUCAAAAGUUCUGGAAAUUCCAAUGUUUAGAAUACAUGAUAACACCUAGUACACAUGCCAGAGUAUUACAUUAAAAUCCUAGCCUGCAGCUUAGAUUGACCAACAAAAACAUCACUCUAGUGAUAUAAUGCUAACUAGGCACUCGUUUUAAUCUUUGCUUUUUCCAACUUAUGAGCUAAGGGAAGCCAAAUUUUAUACCAGCUCAAAGUGAUUAGAGCAACUAGGGUAUAACCAGAUAUCCACAAAAUUAAGAAAAUUAUUUAAAAUUGUACAAAUAGUUCAUAGAUAUCAGCUGCUAGGGAAAAUCUUAUUUUAAUUCCUAAGUGCCAAGUAUGAUAAACAGGCUGCCACACCCACCCAAGCAUGGACAUGGGUACUGGGGACCACACCCCAGCUCUCUACUUGCAUGGCAAGAACUUUACACAGUCUCCAUUGUAAACAAUAUAUUUCUUUCUUUCUUUUUUCUUUCCUUUUUCUUUGGUUGUUUUUCAAGACAGGGUUUCUCUGUGUAGCUUUGGAGCCUGUCCUGGAUCGCAUUUUGUAGACCAGCCUGUACUCGAACUCACAAACAUUCACCUGGCUCUGCCUCCGGAGUGCUGGGAUUAAAGGAGUACGCCACCACCAUCCAGCUUAAUAUAGUUCUUAAUACUUUCCUGCAUGCUUGCAUAUAUUUAAAGCUACAAACACAUUAUAAUAAAUGCUUUUAAGAUAUCAAAAAAUGGUAUGAGAGUAGUUUAAUUAACUUUCCUUCUUUACUGUAUAUCUUAAAGUUAUUUCUCUAAUAAUAUCAUAUCUCUAUUUUACCUUAUUGCUGUUGAACAUUUGUGUAAUUUCUGAUGUUUCAAGAUUACAAAUAAUAUAGGAAUAAACAUUCUUGUGCAUGCA